rnacentral:rRNA from 1 species
AGGUUAAGMUACAAAGGGCGCAUGGCGAAUGCCUUGGCACUAGGAGCCGAAGAAGGACGCGUUAAGCUGCGAUAAGCUUUGGGUAGGCGCAAAUAGCCAGUGAUCCAAAGAUUUCCGAAUGGGGGAACCCACAUAGUAACAACUAUGUACUGCAUACUGAAUAAAUAGGUAUGCAGAGGUAGACCC